rnacentral:sRNA from 1 species
GUGACACGUCUGGCGCCGAUGUUGCCCCUGGUAAGACAGAUCAAACAGAAAGCGCCCUCUAUAUGUAGGAGGAGAGAUCACGUGACGAAUGCGUUUAGCACCCCCAACGUCGAUUGGUUAAAUUCAAUUUAGCAGGGCUCAUUACUGAAUGGUAGCACAGAGACUUACUAUAGUACCAACAGUCACAACACACCCAAGUAGCAGCAACAGUGGCGACACACUCGUAGUACAAAUCAUUACCAAUACACUUGUACCACAAACAGUCACAACAUACUAGUAACACUGACAGUCAAGACACGCCAAUAUGACAGUCACAGCGCACUAGUUGCACGAACAGUAACGACACAUGCAGUUUAGGUACAUGAAUAAAUCUCAAUAUGUUUUGUAAUUUCCUGUUCGUGAAGAAUAAAGAAUUAUUAUUUUUUCA